GAUGAACGCUGGCGGCAGGCCUAACACAUGCAAGUCGAGCGAGCGGCGGACGGGGGAGUACGGUCUGGGAACCUGCGUGUUAGAGAGGGAUAACUACGGGAAACGGUAGCUAAUACCGCAUACCAUCAGAUUUCGCCAGGUGGGAGUAGCUGGUAGGGGGGGUAAUGGCUCACCUAGGCGAGUAACCCUAGCUGGCCUGAGAGGAUGACCAGCCACACUGGAACUAAGACACGGUCUCGACGCCUACGUGAGGAAUCAGUGGGGAAUAUUGCACAAUGGGCGAAAGCCUGAUGCAGCCAUGCCGCGUGUAUGAAGAAGGCCUUCGGGUCGUAAAACACUUUCAGCGGGGAGGAGGUAUCCGAAGAGGAAGCAGCGGCUAACUCCGUGCCAGCAGCCGCGGUAAUUC
rnacentral:rRNA from 1 species